CCCCGGCCCCGACUCGACCCCGACCGGACUCGACCCGACCCAGACUCGACCUCCGACCCGACCGCGCCGACCCGACCCCGACCCCGGCGACUGGCGGCCCCCGGGACGCAUCGCAGUCGGUCGGUCCGCGCAGAAAACGGUGCUGGAUCCGCGAACCGCGAUUGCGGACCUGGAAGCGCGAGCCCCGCGGCUCCUCCGUCCGUCCGUCUGUCCCGGACCCUGGGCUCCCGCCGGCCGCGAACUCUGGGUUCGGCGGGGAUCGGCCCAGGGGCGGGAGAAGCCACCCGUGUGGACCGAGGCCAGACCGUCGGGCCGGCAGGUGCUGGGCCCCGAGCUGGCGCUGAGCUGGUGCAGACGCAGGGAGAGGACACAGGAGAAGGUGAGGCCCGAGUGGGUCACUUGGAACCGGUGUGGGCAGAGUGUGGUGCAUCGGUGAGGGACGUCUGCGUGUGGACCAGAAGGGAGGCCCAGGGCAGCCGCGGCCCGGGGCUGCAGGAGGGGACGGUGUGCGGCUGGACGCCCUGGCCCGGGCUGUGGGCCCAGCAGCCUGACUGCUCCUCAGAACCCUCAGCCGCUGGACUUGCUGCACGCACCCUGGCCCCCAGCCACCGACACCGGCCACCGAGCACACGGAGCUACAGAGUGGGUUCCUGGCCGCCUGGCAACCCCAGGGUGGCCCCUGCCGCCUCCAAAGCUCCCCGUGAGGUCGGGCCAAACUCCGUGCCCUCCCCUGUGGGACUUUGCCUGCUAUCGCAUUCUUGCCGCGCCUCCCGCUCCCCUUCCAGUGCUCCUUCCUAGGAACACGGUCUAAUCAGACCAGCUAUGUGAUUGGCAGGGCCCCACGCAAGGUAAAGAAGAGUGUUCGUGGCUUAUAGGAACUUCAAAGUGGCAACAGCAGGUGUUAGACCGAGUCCGGGGUCCUGUGUUUCUGCACAGAUGUGCUUGACUCUGCGGAUGGCGCAUCGGCGGAGCUGGUCUGGAUGCUAAUAAAAUGCUUUUCACCUGAGUCCUCACCUAGGUCUGCUUCUGGGGACUCCCCCGCUAAGAUAACAGCUGUCAAAGUAAAACAUCCGCCGUCGGGUACUAGCACAGUCAUCUUACAGGUACUCUAGUCGGCCUCCCGGGGCUUGGGAGGGGGCGGCUCCAGGAAAGGCGGCUGUAACCAGAGCUCCAGCCAGCACAGGAGGGAAAGCAGGUGAGGGUGGCUUAGGUUAGUAGGAUGACGGGGCAGGAAGUCUGGGUUUAGCCCCAUUCGGAGCCAUAAGCACAGUGUUAAUCUGGGUGGGAUUUCAGAUGGAGUUACCUAGAAACACCUUACUUGAAGUUUAAUUGGCAAGUGGUUAAAAGGUUACACCUCACUUGUAAGGAAGUGGGGUUGGCAGGCCUGGGCAGAGGGAGAAGCUCCUCUCAGUGUGGUCACAGCUGGGCCUGGAGUGGGUGGCUCUUCAGAACUAAGCAGAUGCAGCUCACGACGCCCGGGGGGCUCAGCGGGGCAGCCUCCGCCUUCAGCCCAAGGCAUGACCCUGGGGUCCCAGGAUCCGGAUCGAGUCCUGCAUCGGGCUCCCCGCAGGGAGCCUGCUUCUCCCUCUGCCUGUCUCUGCCUCUCUCUCUCUCUCUCUCUCUCUCUCUCUGUGUGUCUCAGGAAUAAAUAAAUAAUAAUCUUAAAAAAAAAAAAAACUAGAUUGAGUCCCCUUCGUAGUCUUCUCUACACCCUGCACCUGGAGAAAGGUGUAGCCAUAGGCAAAGCAGUUCCCUGAGGGCGACGCCCCGGAGGACACGGCUGGGAACGGUCAGGCACGGAUGCGUCAGCGCUGAGCAGAGGAUCUAGGAGACACCGCACGAGAUCUCUCUCGGCAGAUGAUCCCUGAGAUCUCACUCGUUCUUACAGUUGGUCACGACAGGAAAACACAGCCCAGGAGGGCUGGCCCCUGGGUCUUCUGUGUAGCACCUGGACAAUAUUUUAUUGCAUUUAACCCUUCUCAUACUAUAAGGUUAUUUAAUUUCCUAUUUUUUUCCUUCAGGCUUUUAAUUUUUAGUUUUUAAAAAGAUUUAUUUAUUUAUUAUUAUUAUUUAUUUAUUAUUUUACAAAGAGAGAGUGCAGGGGGGAGAGACAGAGGGAGAUGGAGAGAGAAACUCAUGCUGAGUGCAGAGACUGUCCACCUCCGGAGCCUGAGAAAUCAAGAGUCGGUGGCUUCACCGACCGACUGAGCCAGCCAGGCGCUCCUCCUUCCACUCUUUUUUCCUCCCUUUUCUAUGUGUUCUGGCCCAAUUAUUUCCUAGCCCUCCAAUGGCACUGGAGACAAAUAAAUCCAAAUAAAUAAAGCAAUUGCCCAAGAGUAGCAGUGUAGUGAGGUACACAUGAUGGGAUGGAGCCUCUGGGAUCAAGUCCUGAGUUUGCCACUGACAAACUGUGAAUUUGGGGCUCUUAACCCUACUGGGCAUUUACUUGUCUUUAAAAUAGAUUAUAAGAGGGUGGUCUCUAAUGUCCCCAUUUUUUUAAAUAUUUUAUUUAUUUAUUCAUGAGAGAGGCAGAGACACAGGCAGAGGGAGAAGCAGGGGAGCCCGAUGUGGGACUCGAUCCCGGGACCCCGGGGUCACAACCUGGGCCGAAGGCAGAUGCUCCGCCACUGAGCCACCCGGGCAUCCCCUAAUGUCCCACUUUUAAAAGAGAUGGUUUUCUCAUGGGGCACCUGAGUGGCACAGUCCACUGUUAACUCAGUCUUGGUUUCCCUGAGGGUCAAGAUCUCAGGGUCCUGGGGUCCAGCGGCCUUGAGCUCCUGCUCAGUGCACAGUCUGCUUGUCCUUCUCCCUCCUCUAGUCCCCCUCCCCCAGAUACACACCUGUUGGCACUGGGUGAACUUUCUCCCUCAAACAAAUAAAACGUUUAAAAAAAAGGUUUUCUCUGCUAUAUAAUCCCUCAUGAAUCAAACAAGAGAACUUCUUAAAACUCAGAACUGAUUUUUAGAGUUAGUUGCAGUUCAUAUGUGAGGUGCUACCCAGCAAGAACACCCUAAGUCCCGCAGCCGUCAGAAAGAGUUGGGUGAAACGGGAUUCUAAUAGAUGGGGCCGAUGGGGGCGGUGAGGUCCCCGCAGACUUGGGAACGAUUCUUCCGGAAUAUCAGACUUGCUUCCUAAGGAUUUUGCCCGUCCUGUUGCGCGCGGCCACACUCUGCCUGAACCUGCCCCAAAAGUCUCGGAGAGCUCCCUCCUUUUGGAUAGGCUGCCUGGGUAAGUGCCUCACAAACUGGUUUUUCU
rnacentral:lncRNA from 1 species